rnacentral:rRNA from 1 species
CGCUGGCGGCGUGCUUAACACAUGCAAGUCGAACGGUGAAGCAGGAGCUUGCUCUUGUGGAUCAGUGGCGAACGGGUGAGUAACACGUGAGCAACCUGCCCCGGACUCUGGGAUAAGCGCUGGAAACGGCGUCUAAUACUGGAUACGAGUAGCGACCGCAUGGUCAGCUAUUGGAAAGAAUUUCGGUCUGGGAUGGGCUCGCGGCCUAUCAGCUUGUUGGUGAGGUAAUGGCUCACCAAGGCGUCGACGGGUAGCCGGCCUGAGAGGGUGACCGGCCACACUGGGACUGAGACACGGCCCAGACUCCUACGGGAGGCAGCAGUGGGGAAUAUUGCACAAUGGGCGAAAGCCUGAUGCAGCAACGCCGCGUGAGGGAUGACGGCCUUCGGGUUGUAAACCUCUUUUAGUAGGGAAGAAGCGAAAGUGACGGUACCUGCAGAAAAAGCGCCGGCUAACUACGUGCCAGCAGCCGCGGUAAUACGUAGGGCGCAAGCGUUAUCCGGAAUUAUUGGGCGUAAAGAGCUCGUAGGCGGUUUGUCGCGUCUGCUGUGAAAUCUGGGGGCUCAACCCCCAGCCUGCAGUGGGUACGGGCAGACUAGAGUGCGGUAGGGGAGAUUGGAAUUCCUGGUGUAGCGGUGGAAUGCGCAGAUAUCAGGAGGAACACCGAUGGCGAAGGCAGAUCUCUGGGCCGUAACUGACGCUGAGGAGCGAAAGGGUGGGGAGCAAACAGGCUUAGAUACCCUGGUAGUCCACCCCGUAAACGUUGGGAACUAGUUGUGGGGUCCAUUCCACGGAUUCCGUGACGCAGCUAACGCAUUAAGUUCCCCGCCUGGGGAGUACGGCCGCAAGGCUAAAACUCAAAGGAAUUGACGGGGACCCGCACAAGCGGCGGAGCAUGCGGAUUAAUUCGAUGCAACGCGAAGAACCUUACCAAGGCUUGACAUAUACGAGAACGGGCCAGAAAUGGUCAACUCUUUGGACACUCGUAAACAGGUGGUGCAUGGUUGU